ACAGUCGCGUGUGGAACUGCCCUGCCCCAGCCAGGCUGGUUCUCCCCGUGGGGAGAAGACACGACACCUGUUCUCCGCAGCCCUGCCUUGUCUUUCUUCUGCGUCGCAAAGUCCAGCUUCUGCCUUGCAGCCUCCUGGCUUAACCAUAAGCCCCUGGUCAGGCCCCUCCCUCCCCCCCAGAAGCAAACUGCCAGGUGGGGAGGUGGACAAUCUAACCGCAUGACAUCGGUCGUGAUGUUCAGCAUAAACUCGUCAAGAAAAGUGUCCUGCGUUUCCCCCCAGAAAGCUCUUCGUCAAGUCCCAGGCGAAGGCCAGGCCCAGCUCUGCCCCUUGCUGGCCACCUGCCUUCCAGCUGUGCCCGUGGAGGGAUGUCCCUGGCAGCAGCUCCCUGUGCCCGUGCUGGGAUUUGAGCCGCCACAGCCCCAAGUCGGCCCUGUGGGAAAUUGUGCUCUUUGGUCCAGCUCACAGCCCUUGACACUCUGGAGCUAUUUUCAACAGAUCCCACAGCUUUUCACUUGCUUCACUAAUUUCUCUACAAUAGAAUUUGGGGGGGGGGAGUCAAAAUCGGAGCAGCUUCUUCAUCACCAAACUGCGCUUUGAUGAGCCUGGAGCUACCCAAGUACCAGAGCCCAGAAGGGCCUGGCACCUAGCAGGCGCGCAGUCAGUGGUAGUGAACUGCUAGGUUGUGCCCCGGGUCUCUGAACCCCAGAACCAGCACUGGCCACUCAGUAGCCGCAGAUCAGGGGCUUCUUGGGGGCAGGGGUUGAGGCCACACCCUUGGUAUGAGGGUCUUCCUGAGCCAGGAUUUGAACCCUCACCAGAGCAGCGACCCAAGCCACAGCAGUGACAAUGCCAGAUCCUUGACUGCUUGGCCACCAGGGAACUCCAGUGGUCAUGGAUCUGACGGUCCCGCCUCCUGCCGUGACUUCGCGUCCGCACUCCCGGUCCAUUACGUCCACUGUCUACGUGGGUAUUUCCUCAUGAGCAUGUUUGAGGUGAUGGCCUGGCACUCCGUUUCCUAAUUUCUGCCAAUGGUGGUAACUAUACCAGUCGUCGUUGUUGUUAACACGGACCCUAGACUCGCAUGGUUUAUAACACGUCGUGCUCCUGCUACACUCAUGUCCCGCAAAAGCUGGCUGUUGCUCAACACGAUUCUUACUCUAGGAACCAGGCUGAAUCUGAGUAUUGUGGAUGGUUAAGGCACAGGGAAAAGUGAUACAGUGAACCACAUGCUGGCUUCCAAAUCUUCUGCCAGGAAGUAAUAAAGCAUCUUUUCCAGCCACAAUUCACUGGCUAAGGUAAGUCACAUGACCAAGACUCCUCCAAGGAGAGGCCGUAAGUAUUUGGAAACAAAUACUGACCUUGUGCCAAUAACUCUUCUAAAUGCAUUUUUAAAAAAUGAUUGUUAUUUUUUUCAUUAUAGUUGGUUUACAGUGAUGUGUCAAUUUUCUUCUGUAUGGCAAAGUGACCCAGUCAUGCAUACAUGUAUACGUUCUUUUUCUCACAUUAUCCUCCAUCAUGCUCCGUCACCACCAGUGACUAGAUAGAGGUCCCUGUGCUGUACAGCAGGUUCUCAUUGCUUAUCCACUCCCAAGGCAAUAGGCUCCAUCUAUUAACCCCGGAUUCCCAGUCCAUCCCACUCCCUCCUUGGCAACAACAAGUCUGUUCUCCAAGUCCAUGCAUUUCUUUCCUGUGGAAAGGUGCAUGUGUGCCGUAUAUUAGAUUCCAGAUAUAAGUGAUAUCCUAUAGUAUUUGUCUUUCUCUUUCUGACUUUGCUUAAUAUGUGUCUCUAGUUCCAUCCUAAAUGCAUUUUAAAUUAACAGCUUUAUUGUGAUAUAAUUCACACAUCAUAAAAUUUAGCCAUUUAAAACAUACAAUUCCUGAUUUUUAGUAUUUAUGCAAUUGUUCAACCAUCACCACUAGCGAUCAUUUUUCUCACCAAUUUUAGAAUAUUUUCAUCACUCCAGAAAGGAAACCCCAUACCUAUUAGCGACCACUCUCUAUGCUCUCCUCCUCUAGCUCCUACUAUUAGUAGGCAACUAUUUUUUUUCUGAAUAAUAGUCCAGUGCAUGAGUAUGCCAUAUUUUGUUUAUCCCUUCAUCAGUUGUCACUAGUUCUUUGCUGUAGUGAAUGAUGCAUUUGUGUGCACAUUUCUUUGGUUUCCAGUUCUCUUAGGUAUAUACUUAGGUGUGGAAUUUCUAGGUCAGAGGGUAAUUCUGUUUAACAUUUUGAGGACCUGCCAAACUGUUUGAAGUGUCUGCGGUAUUGUACCAUCCCGCCAACAAUGUGUGAGUGUUCCAGUUUCUCCAUAUCCUCAGCAAUUGUUAUUAUCUCUCCUUUUUAUUCUAGACAUCCCAGUGGGUGGGAUGUGGUAUCUAAUUGUGGUUUUGAUUUGUAUUUCCUUAGUGAUUACUGAUGUUGAGCAUCUUUUCUUUCUUUUUUCUUUUUUUCUUUUCCUGUUUUUUGUCUUUUUAGGGCUGCACCUGCGGCAUAUGGAGGUUCCCAGGAUAGGGGUUCAAUCAGAGCUGUAGCCGCCAGGCUACACCACAGCCACAGCCACAGCAAUGCAGGAUCCGAGCCAUGUCUGUGAACUACACCACAGCUCAUGGCAACGCCGGAUCCUUAGCCCACUGAGUGAUGCCUGGGAUCGAACCUGCAUCCUCACGGAUAUUAGUUAGAUUCGUUUCCGCUGCGCCACUACGGGAACUCCGAGCACCUUUUCAUGUGCUUUUGACUCUUUGUAUAUCUUCUUUGGAAGUAUCUAUUUAAAUCCCUUGUCAAUUUUAUUAAUUAGAUUUUUUAUUGUACUAGUAUGUACAUUCUGCAUACUAGUCCUUAUCAGAUAUCUGAUUUGCAAAUAUUUUCUCUUGCUCCAUGAGCUAUCUUUUCACUUUCUUAAUGGUAUCCUUUGAAGCACAAAAGUGUUUAAUUUUGAUGAAGUCAAUUUCUUCUAUUUUUAAAUUGGUUUCCUGUGCUUUUGAUGUCAUAUGAAAGAAGCCAUUGCCUAAUUCAAAGUCACUGUGUUUUCUUCUAGGAGUUUUAUAGUUUUAGCUCUUAUAUUUAGGUUGAUCAUCCAUUUUGUCUAUGGUGUGAGGUAGGGGUAAAGUACUUUUUAAAAAAAUCAAUCUUUGGAGUUCCCUUCAUGGCUCAGUGGUUAACAAACCCAACUGGUAACCAUGAGGCUGUGAGUUCAAUCCCUGGCCUUGCUCAGUGUGUUAAGGAUCCAGCGUUGCCGCGAGCUAUGGUGUAGGUUACAGAUGCAGCUCAGAUCCCAUGUUGCUGUAGCUGUGGUGUAGGCUGGUAUCUGUAGUUCCAAUUCGAUCCCUAGCCUGGGAACCUCCAUAUGCUACAGGUGUGGCUCUGAAAAGACAAGAAAUAAAAAGAAAUAAAAUUUAAAAUAAAUAAAUAAAUAAUCGAUCUUUUAUUUUGGAAUAAUUUGAGAUUUUCGGUAAAGUUGCAAAGAUAGUACAGUUCCCAUAUACCCUUCACCCAGCUGCCCCUAAUGUCUAAGAUAACUAUAGUACAUUUGUCAAAAUAAGAAAUAUUUAAUGGUGCAAUAGUUUUAACUAAACUACAGACUUUAUUUGGAUCCCACCAGUUUUUCCACUUAUGUACUUUUUUCUAUUUCAGGAUCUACUCCUGGAUAAUACAUUGCAGUUAGCUGAGUACUUUUUUUAUAUUAGGUCAUUUAAUCUUCACCACAAUAUAGUUACCUUCAUUUUUUUUUACAGAUGAGGAAAUGAAGGCAUUAAGAGCUUAACAGUAACUUGCCCAAGGUAAAAAGCUGCUAAGUGAUGGAAUUUUUCUCACAGCUCACAGCAAUGCUGGGUCCUUAACCCACUGAGCGAGGCCAGGGAUUGAACCCGCAACCUCAUGGUUCCUAGUCGGAUUCCUUUUCGCUGCGCCACAAUGAGAACUCCAAUACGGCUAUUUAAAAAAAAAAACUACUUCAGCCAUUUUUAAGUGUACAAUUUGGUAGCAUUAAAUAUAUUCAGUGUUGCCCAAGUCUCACCACUAUCCCUUUGCAGGAGUUUUUCAUCAUCCCCAACAGAAGCUGUGUCCACUGAGCAGCGACUCCUCUUGGCCCACACUUCACCAUGAACGUCUGUGUUAGACGUGAUCUCCGCCCAGAAACGCCUGUAGAUCUGCCUAUACAGCUGCUAUUCUAGGAACUUCAAAUGGGUGGAGCCACACGAUGUAUCUGGCUCAUUUCACUUGGGAUUUUUCAAGGCGCAUCCGUAUUGCCGCAGGCAUCAGCCUUUCAUUCCCUCUGGUAGUUGAAUAAUAACACCCUCUUGCAUGCAAAUACCACACUUCUUUCACCCGUUCACCCGCAGAUGUCAUUUGUUGUUGCCACCUUUUGGCUACCGUGAAUACUGCUAUUACUGUGGUACAAACAUUUGCUUGAGUCCCCGCUUUGUUUGCUGUUGCACUUUUUAUCUUAGGGUUUUUAGAUUUCCAGAAAAAGCAAGCUCUUUUCUCUAUGCAGCUAAGGACAAUCAUUAUCUCAAACUCAGAGCUCUUGAUAAACCAUCUUAGCUAAUCACUACGAGAGAAGUUAGAUAUUCGCAAAAUAUAUGUACAUUUGGUAGAUAUUUCUCUUUUAACUGAUGUGUAUAAUAUUAUAACAAUGUUGCAUAAGUUACUUUGUUUAGUUAUCUUCAUGUACAUCACAAAUGCUUUACCCACAGGGUAGAUAUGGCAGGAAGUUGACUUCUGGAGAUGCUUAAGCUUUUACUUUGGUAUUAAUCAUUUUAUUUAAAUUUCAUGUUAGAGUUUUGCCGGGGUUGAACCUAGUUAGAGUCUCAUUUGUGUGCGAUGAAGACUCAAAACAAUUUCCUCAGGAAAAGGCUACCCCGGGCUUUGGUCUUCCCUUGUAGGUGAGAAAAGUCUUUUAUUCAGCCAGCUGUUCUUCGGUAGCUCAGCUUUCAUAAUAGGUCAAACGCUGCCUCUGAAUUGUUUAUUAAGGCAUAUGCUUCUGAACUUAGACAACUCAGAAUAGCUACAUUCCAAGAUUUGGCUGGAAAUAAUCUUAUUUUGCAUCCAAUAUUAUUAAAAACUCAGUAGAGGGAAGCAAUUUUCCAGGAGGAUUAUUUGACGCGUAUAUCAGCUUAUGCACUUUUGCAGACAGUCUAGUCUAAAACAUAUCCAUGGAUUAAACCAGAUUGUUAGACAGCUGGUACCUUGCUAGACAGUGCCAGAAUUUCCCAAAGCAUAAUCUUUACCAAUUUGUACUUCUGUGUGAUAUCAAUACUGUAUGUUGAGCACUGCCCAAAACAGCAAUUUUCUUUUUUUCUUUUUUUGGUCUUUUUCGGGCUGCACCAAAGGCACGUGGAAGUUCCCAGGCUAGGGGUCGAAUCAGAGCUGUAGCUGCCAGCCACGGCCACAGCCACAGCCACAGCAAUGUGGGAUCUGAGCUGCAUCUGUGACCUACACCACAGCUCAAGGCAGUGCCAGAUCCUUAACCCACUGAGUGAAGCCACGGAUCAAAUCUGCAUCUUCAUGGAUACUAAUCAGGUUCCUUACCGCUGAGCUAUGCCGGGAAUGCCAAAAAACAGCAACUUUUGUUGCAUCUAUUAUAAGGAAGGCUGAGAACAUUGUUCAUUUCUAUCACCUAAUAGCCACUUUUUAGGAUUCCAGAGAGGGAGAGAGAUCUGAUCUUGGUAUCAAAAAUAGUUACUGGUAAUAAGGAAAUUCAACUUUUCUAUUAGAAAGAGAGAGAAGAAAAAGAAAUAAAUAAUUCCCGUCGAUGCUCUCUGACUCCUUCCCAGAGCGUCCCAGCAAAAACACAGGGAAGUUUUGCUUAAACAGGCAUCAUGGAAUGUGCCAAAACAAAUAAAGCCCUUUCUACAAUCCAAACUGCACAAGGAUUCCCAAACGAGAAGCAAAAAUGUCUUUGUACAAAAAAGUAGAUCACAUUCUUCUGUAACAGGUCGAAUGUUUUAAUGCUUCGAAAUCCUAAACCCAGCCUCAUAUAUUAUGUACGUUUCACACCUACAACAGAAACUGUUGCAACAGUGGUGACUGGUUGUAUUCAUCAGGUUUCUCCAGAGAAACAGAACCAAAAGGAUUUACCUCGAUAUAUAUCAGGAGAUUUGUUAGAGGAACUGGCUCAUGCUGUCCUGGAGGCCAAGAAGUGCCACGAUCCGCAGGUUGGGGAACCAGGAGACCAGUGGUGCGACUGAGUCUGUGUGCAAACGCCUGGGGACCCGUGUAGCUGAUGGUGUGUCUCCCGAGUCUGAAGUUGCAGGUCUGGAAACAGGGGCCGCUGGUCUGAGUCCUGGAGUCCGAAGGCCUGAAAACCAGAGAUGCCAGUGUCCGAGGCUCCGGGAAGAUGAGAGAGGGGAGAACUCGCCCUCCUAUCUUUCUGUUCUAUGGAACCUCGGCAGAUUGACGGCUGCCCACGCGGGAAAGAGAGAGCUUCUCUAUCUGCUGAUUCAAAUGAUAAUCUCUUCGGGGAAAAGCCUCUCACAGACACAUCCAGAAAUAGUGUUUUCCCAGCUCUCUGGGCAUCCCAUAGUCAAGGCAACAUAUAAAAUUAUCCCACUGGUCAAGAGACUGGAAUAGGAGGGAAAUAAUCUUCAUUCAUUUAUUUUCUCUUUUUUGGAGUCUCCGUCAUGGCUCAGUGGUUCACGAACCCAACUAGCAUCCGUGAGAACGUGGGUUCGAUCCCUGGCCUCACUCAGUUGGUUAAUGAUCUGGUGUGGCCGUGAGCUGUGGUGUAGGUCGCAGAGGUGGCUCAGAUCCCGCGUUGCUGUGGCUCUGGCGUAGGCUGGCAGCUGCAGCUCUGAUUCGCCCCCUAGCCUGGGAACCUCCAUGUGCCGUGGGUGUGGCCCUAAAAGACAAAACAAACAAACAAAUUCCUCCUUUUUCACCUUCCCCGCUAAAUGUACUUCUUGGUGGGUAAAGGAGAGCGGAGACCCCCGUCUCCAUUUCCGUGCCCCAGUAUGUGACAGGUAUGUGACAUGCCACCAGUGCUGAAUAACUAUUUGUUGAAUGAACUGGGAUCAUGCCACCUGGUCCACAAACGCCAACCUCCUGCACCAGCACCGGGCCUUUCCAUCCUUAGGCCUCAGCGACUGCUUUUCAACUCAGCCUCCACACUGGUUACCCGGGUCACCAGCCCGGUUCAUUCUGGUGCUGUGGUGUCUUGUGUUUCCUCAUUGCCACCAGCGUACUCUCUCUUCCACCAGCGGACAAAGGGACUGCGCAGUGUGCACAAGCAAACCCCCGGUUCUCACGGAAGCCCUGCUGGUUCUCUCUGCAGAUAUGGAUCCGGGGAACUGUGUAAGGGCGUGUGUACUGUGGUGUGUGAGUGUGCUUUUACUAACCCUCAAAUGAAACCUCAGGAGGAGUCCCUUGUGGUGCAGUGGGUUAAGGGUCUAAGGUUGUCACUGCAGCAGCUGGGGUCACUGCUGUGGUGCAGGUUUGACCCCUGGCCCGGGAAUUUCCAUGGAUGCAGCCCCCCCGCCCCCCGAAAAAAAAGAAAACUCAUGGCCCCACCACGGAAUUGGCCUUUACCUGGCAGGAGGAACAGUUAAUUAUAUUUUAGGAAGAGGAGUUCCCUAGUGGCCUAGCAGUUAGAGAUCCUAUGUUGUCACUGUUGUGGCUCGGGUUCGCUCUCUGGCCCAGGAACUUCCACAUGCCUCAGGCAUGGCCAAAAAAACACUUUUUUUUUUUUUAAAGAGAAUGUUUUAGGAGUUCCCAACAUGGCACAGCAGAAACAAAUCUCAGAACCAUGAGGUUGCGGGUUCGAUCCCUGCUCUCGCUCAGCAUUGCCAUGGCUGUGCUGUAGGCUGGCAGCUACAGCUCCAAUUCGACCCCUAGCCUGGGAACCUCCAUAUGAUGAGUGUGGCCCUAAAAAGCAAAAAAAAGUUUAGGAAGAGGAAUAACAUUUUUUGUUUGUUUAUAAGAAUAUUUUGGGAAGAGGCAAUGAUUCUUUGCCACUUUUCUUCCAGCCCCAGCCUCAGUUUUCUACUCGAUUUGAUGGAGACACAGGCCAGGUAGAAGUAAUCCUGGAAAGGCCAGAACCCAGGUCUCCUGUGGGAGGUGAGGUCUGCGACUCAAGGCUCGAAGCCCGAGUCUCUCAGGUGGUCAGACAUUAGAAACCUGUAUUAAAAUGCUUCCUGGCAAGUCCCAGGCUUUGUCCAGAGUAUGUCAGCUGCUGCUCCCUCACUGUGGGUCCUGCCUCCAAGAACCCGCCUGCAGGAUGUGCAGCCAGGCUGCCCUGGAUUUGAACCUUGGCCUUGUCCAUCUCUGACCACGUGAUCUGAGAAAGGCGAACCUCACCAAGUCUGUGCCCACAGCCUGUUUAUCGGGAUGGAUAAAGGCGAUGUAUGAAAGGGCCUCCAACUGUGCUCCGUAUGCAGUGGUACUAGCACUCAGUAAAGGCCUGUGGAUGCUUCACAUCCACUAACCUGUUAAAUCCCUGUGGUGCAACAACCUACGAGGUAGGUGCUAUUUUUAUAACCAUGUUUCCAGAUAAAGAAACUGAGGGACCGAGAGGUAGAGGAGUUUGUCUAAGGAUUAAAAAUGACAGAGCCAGAAUUUCUAGAUUGUGGAAAUCUGGCUCAGAGGCUAAGCCUUUAAUGACUACGUUGUGCUGAUCCUCCGUUACUAUAGUAUUUAUAAUUUCUCUUGGCAGGAGUGUAAUUAUUAUACUCGUUUAGGAAAAUAAUCUGUCAAUAGGUGUUCAUAAAUUUUAAAAAGCUCUUAUCUUUUGAGGCAGUAAUUCCAUUUCUGGCAAUCAGUCCUAAAGAAAGAAUUAUACAUACAUUAAAAAGCCAGCUGGAGUUCCCCCUGUGCUGCAACAGGUGUCUCUGGAGCACUGUGAUGCAGGUUCAAUCCCUGGCCUGGUACAUUGAGUUAAAGGAUCCAGUGUUGCCGCAGCUGGGGUGCAGGUUGAAACCAGGGCUCAGAUCUGACCCUGGCCGGGAAACUUCUAUAUGCUGAAGGGCAGCCAAAAAAAAAAAAAAAAAAAAAAAAAAAGAAAAAAAAA
rnacentral:lncRNA from 1 species